rnacentral:rRNA from 1 species
UACAGAGGUCCCAAGCGUUGUUCGGAUUCAUUGGGCGUAAAGGGUGUGUAGGUGGCGCCGUAAGUCGGGUGUGAAAUCUCGGGGCUUAACUCCGAAACUGCAUUCGAUACUGCGGUGCUUGAGGACUGGAGAGGAGACUGGAAUUCCUGGUGUAGCGGUGAAAUGCGCAGAUAUCAGGAGGAACACCGGUGGCGAAGGCGGGUCUCUGGGCCGAUACUGACGCUGAGGAGCGAAAGCGUGGGGAGCGAACAGG